rnacentral:rRNA from 1 species
AUUGAACGCUGGCGGCAGGCCUAACACAUGCAAGUCGAACGAGUGGCGGACGGGUGAGUAAUGUCUGGCAACCUGACCGAUGGAGGGGGCUACUUAAUAGGAAAGGUAGCUCCUCCCGCAUUCCGUCGUAUCUGCCCAGAUGGGAUUAGCUAGUGGGUGGGGUACCGGCUAACCUAGGCGACGCUCCCUAGCUGGUCUGAGAGAAUGACCAGCCACACUGGAACUGAGACACGGUCCAGACGCCGACGGGAGGCAGCAGUGGGGAAUAUUGCACAAUGGGCGCAAGCCUGAUGCAGCCAUGCCGCGUGUAUGAAGAAGGCCUUCGGGUUGUAAAGUACUUUCAGCGAGGAGGCGUUACUCGAAGAAGAAGCACCGGCUAACUCCGUGCCAGCAGCCGCGGUAAUAC